rnacentral:sRNA from 1 species
AACCUAAACUUUUAGAAAUAAAAGCAUGGUGAAUAAGUCUCGCUAAAGCAUAAAAAACCUGUAGUUAGGAUUUGCUUUAGCGAGCAGUGGCCAGAAAUGGACACUUGUAGUCGAAAGACUAC